rnacentral:sRNA from 2 species
CUAGAAUCAUUCAAAUAUCAUCCAAUUCAUUCAAAUACGCACCUUUAUCAUCAAAUACGCACCUUUAUCAUCAAAUCUGCCAAUAUGCCCCCCCAGCUCAGCGAAUUUACCACCAAUGAGAUCGUACGCCUUCUAAACGAUGGUUAUAUGCCUGCUCAGAUUGCGCGGACCAUUGAGUGCCAUCUGGCCACUGUAUAUCGAAUCCAACGAAAUAUUCGCUGCUUUGGAACUGCUAGAAGUCCUCGUUCAACAUGGGGUGUAAAGCCAAAGAUCACACCGGAUAUCUUGUCAGGUUUGGAGGAUUUUUUUGAGGCAUAUCCAACUGCAUAUCGCGAUGAGGCUGUCUGCUUUGUGAAGGAUGAAUUUGAUGUUGAUAUCCACCCUCGAUCGAUAUCUAGAUUGUUGAAGAAACUGAAUUUGACACGGAAAAAGGUUGAACCCGUGGCCACUCAACGCGACGAAGAACUUCGAGCUGAAUGGCGUAUUCAAGUUACUCAGUAUCAACCUGAUCAACUUAUAUUUUUAGAUGAGAGUGCUGCGAAUGAACGUACUGCAGAUCGACGAUAUGGAUGGUCAAGCAGAGGAUUCCCUUGUCGCAUUAGAAGGCCCUGUAAACGAUCUCGCAGAUGGUCAAUCUUACCUGCGAUAAGUGUCAAUGGAUAUCUUGAUUAUGAUAUAUAUCAGGGGUCCUAUAAUACAGAGAGGUUCAAUGAGUUUGUACGUGUCCGGAUACUGCCCAAAUGCCAACGAGGUUAUCACUACCUAGUGAUGGAUAAUUGCUCUUCUCAUCGUUCACAAGCACUGCGAGAUCUCUGCAGAGAAGCUGGCAUUGGACUUUUAUUCUUACCCCCAUAUUCUCCUGAUUAUAAUCCUAUAGAGGAGUCAUUUCACGCGUUGAAAGAAUGGAUUAGAAGAUACAGAUGUCAGUUAGAGAAUCAGUUUGAUGGAGAUUUUGAAGCCUUCUUGCAUCAUGCAGUUGAGAACUUCAUGGGAGA